rnacentral:rRNA from 1 species
CCUACGGGAGGCAGCAGUAAGGAAUAUUGGACAAUGGACGCAAGUCUGAUCCAGCCAUGCCGCGUGAAGGAUUAAGGCCCUCUGGGUUGUAAACUUCUUUUAUAGGGGACGAAAAAAGGGCUUUCUGGCUCGACUGACGGUACCCUAUGAAUAAGCACCGGCUAACUCCGUGCCAGCAGCCGCGGUAAUACGGAGGGUGCAAGCGUUAUCCGGAUUCACUGGGUUUAAAGGGUGCGUAGGCGGGCAGUUAAGUCAGUGGUGAAAUCUUCGAGCUCAACUCGGAAACUGCCAUUGAUACUAUUUGUCUUGAAUAUUGUGGAGGUGAGCGGAAUAUGUCAUGUAGCGGUGAAAUGCUUAGAUAUGACAUAGAACACCGAUUGCGAAGGCAGCUCGCUACACAAAUAUUGACGCUGAGGCACGAAAGCGUGGGGAUCAAACAGGAUUAGAUACCCUGGUAGUCCACGCCCUAAACUAUGGAUACUCGACUAUUGCAUACACAGUAGUGUCGUGAGACGAAGAGAGUUAAGUACGUACCGUAACCGUACGGUAAGGUUACGACCGUACGUUAAGGUUAGUAACGUUACGAAGGAAGUUAGACGGCGNGAGUUCGUUCGCCGACGGACGACGACGAGGGAGGAGG